GGACCAAGGAGUCUAGCAUGUGCGCGAGUCGUUGGGACUUGCGAAACCUAAAGGCGAAAUGAAAGUGAAGGCCCGCCUUGCGCGGGCCGAGGGAGGAUGGGCCGCGUCACGACGCGGCCCCGCACUCCCGGGGCGUCUCGUUCUCAUUGCGAGAAGAGGCGCACCCAGAGCGUACACGCUGGGACCCGAAAGAUGGUGAACUAUGCCUGGUCAGGACGAAGUCAGGGGAAACCCUGAUGGAGGUCCGUAGCGAUUCUGACGUGCAAAUCGAUCGUCGGAACUGGGUAUAGGGGCGAAAGACUAAUCGAACCAUCUAGUAGCUGGUUCCCUCCGAAGUUUCCCUCAGGAUAGCUGGCGCUCGCUUUUGCGAGUCUCAUCCGGUAAAGCGAAUGAUUAGAGGCAUUGGGGUCGAAACGGCCUCAACCUAUUCUCAAACUUUAAAUGGGUGAGAUCUCCGGCUUGCUCAAACUUGAAGCCGCGAGAUUAACUUAAUAUAAGGAUCAGAGUGCCAAGUGGGCCACUUUUGGUAAGCAGAACUGGCGCUGUGGGAUGAACCAAACGCAGAGUUAAAGCGCCAAAAUCGACGCUUAUGGGAUACCAUGAAAGGCGUU
rnacentral:rRNA from 1 species